rnacentral:rRNA from 1 species
AUUGAACGCUGGCGGAAUGCUUUACACAUGCAAGUCGAACGGCAGCACGGGGGCAACCCUGGUGGCGAGUGGCGAACGGGUGAGUAAUACAUCGGAACGUGCCCAGUCGUGGGGGAUAACGUAGCGAAAGCUACGCUAAUACCGCAUACGAACUCUGGUUGAAAGCGGGGGAUCGCAAGACCUCGCGCGAUUGGAGCGGCCGAUGGCAGAUUAGGUAGUUGGUGGGGUAAAGGCUCACCAAGCCGACGAUCUGUAGCUGGUCUGAGAGGACGACCAGCCACACUGGGACUGAGACACGGCCCAGACUCCUACGGGAGGCAGCAGUGGGGAAUUUUGGACAAUGGGCGCAAGCCUGAUCCAGCCAUUCCGCGUGCAGGAUGAAGGCCCUCGGGUUGUAAACUGCUUUUGUACGGAACGAAAAGGCCUUUUCUAAUACAGAGGGCUCAUGACGGUACCGUAAGAAUAAGCACCGGCUAACUACGUGCCAGCCGCCGCCGUAACAC